CACGUAGGGGGCGAGCGUUGUCCGGAUUUAUUGGGCGUAAAGAGCUCGUAGGCGGUGUGUCACGUCGGCCGUGAAAACCUGCAGCUUAACUGUGGGCGUGCGGUCGAGUACGGCAUCACUGGAGUUCGGCAGGGGAGACUGGAAUUCCUGGUGUAGCGGUGAAAUGCGCAGAUAUCAGGAGGAACACCGGUGGCGAAGGCGGGUCUCUGGGCCGAUACUGACGCUGAGGAGCGAAAGCGUGGGGAGCAAACAGG
rnacentral:rRNA from 1 species